rnacentral:rRNA from 1 species
UACAGAGGGUGCGAGCGUUGUCCGGAAUCACUGGGCGUAAAGGGCGCGUAGGCGGCCUGAUAAGUAGGGGGUGAAAUCCUGUGGCUUAACUGCAGGGCUGCCUCCUAGACUGUUAGGCUCGAGCACGGUAGAGGCAGAUGGAAUUCCCGGUGUAGCGGUGGAAUGCGUAGAGAUCGGGAAGAACAUCGGUGGCGAAGGCGGUCUGCUGGGCCGUUGCUGACGCUGAGGCGCGACAGCGUGGGUAGCAAACAGG